UACGAAGGGUGCAAGCGUUACUCGGAAUUACUGGGCGUAAAGCGUGCGUAGGUGGUUCGUUAAGUCUGAUGUGAAAGCCCUGGGCUCAACCUGGGAAUUGCAUUGGAUACUGGCGAGCUAGAGUGCGGUAGAGGAUGGCGGAAUUCCCGGUGUAGCAGUGAAAUGCGUAGAGAUCAGGAAGAACAUCGGUGGCGAAGGCGCUUUGCUGGACCAUAACUGACACUCAGGGACGAAAGCUAGGGGAGCGAAUGGG
rnacentral:rRNA from 1 species